ensembl:lncRNA
CGAGUUUCCACACUGAUUAUUCUAGAUUUGUCAGCAACCUUUGUUAACAUGAACCAUUAAGUUUUGUUGAUUCAUUUGCAGAUACUGGCAAGGAUGGCCAAAUAUCAGUGUAGUGACUCUGGUCUCUCCUCCAUAGGAGGUCUCAGAGGGUGAUGUUGGACAAUUGCUCAUCUGCCCAGAGGAUUCUCAUGAAUGUGCAAUAUUACCUUCAUUCAUCUAGAGCCCUACGGAUGCAAUGAUCAUUUUAAAGUGAUUACUGCAGUAUAAGUGGCUGAAGGGAAGGGGCAGAUCCCGGAGCCACCAAUCCCCUCCAUGUUUCUGAUGGCCAUGCUCUGCCUACACCACAGCUGCCAUAACUGCUGUGAUCACAAGGGCAAGGCCUGCCUUUCACGGUGAUGUUUCAGCAGCAUGAAAACCACUUACCAUCCCUGAAAAAAAGAAAAAGCUGCAAUGAACUGAUUGGAAUUUCAUUUUGAGGUCAUCUCUGGUCUCAAUUGUCUUCCCUGAUACAUGUAUAUUCAAUAACCUUGUGAUGUUAGUGACAUAAUCCAAUCAGUAUUUCAAAUUUUCCAGUGCAGUCUCUGCUUGUCAUUUGGAUAUAUACAUGCAGCCACCAACAGGAAAAAAUAUUUUUUCCAGAUUACCAAAAUGGGUAUGGUAAAAUUGGAACGCAGGCUGGAUCAGGACAGAAGCUGGUGAAACCACUGACAAACAUGAAAAUGUCUGCAGAUAGAUCAGCCUCAGACUCAUAGUUGAUGCAGAUGAUAGAUACAAAUUCUUACUUAUGCUGGAUAUAAGGAAAAUAUUAUUUUACUCUGGGAGAGUGAUACAGUCCCCCAAAAGCUGUGGAGACCACAUUGCUGAAGAUAGUUUGGAGUUUCGUAUCCCUGGAGUUUUUCAAUUCUGAGAUAGCUCGAGCUACAGCUGACCUGAUCUACUGUUCCUUCCGACAUCUCCAUCAUUCUUUGAAAUCUACAUUAGACUGAACAUGGUUUUACUGCAGCACAUCUUGGCUAUGAUCCUAAAUCACACUUGUAGCUCUGCUUAUCAAGUAGCCAAUCCUUCCUAAUGCCAAUGACUGUAGAAGAAACUCAAGUCCCCAGGCAAUUCCUCAGAUGACUGCUUACAGCAGAAGACAAAGAAGAGGAUAAAAAGAAUUAAGUCAAGUUUUGCCUCCCUUCUCAUACUGAAAUGCCUCUAUCAAGUCUCUCCAGAGCCUUCUCUUCUC